rnacentral:lncRNA from 10 species
CUGCUGGCAAGAGAUAUCCACUGGUUCUAGACCUGGCGGAGAGCGCUGGAGGAAAGCACCAGAGAGGCCUGGCUCUGGGGAAGUUGGAGGUUUUACUCCCUGGCAUCAUCUGCAGUCGAGAGUGAUCUGGCAGAUACUAUCUCUCCCAACCAACUUGGCAAGGCUCUGGUCCUGUGUGAGGAGGCAAGGAGUUCUCUUGGAUGAGGUGAGCACACCCAGAGAAGUAUGCAGAAACCUCGAAGGUCAUCAAUUCCGACAUCCAGUUGAUGCUUAGAUUUCCUCCAUUGCUUCUCUGCAAAGCGAUUGUCUGUUCCAUGCUUAAAUAUCUCCAGUGAUGGUGAGCUCACUACUUCAAGAGGCAGUCCAUACUCAGGGUAGUCCUGGACUCACUAAUAGAAUGGACGGAGCCUGCACCAUCCCCAUUUCUGCCUCACCCUCGCCCGCUAGCACUGUGACAAGACAUCUGUCCACAUGUGUUGAAUAGCCCUGAAAGAGAGAGAUCCCCUUACCCCAGAGCACAUGAAUUUCCCAGAAGGUCCCUGGAGUAAAAAUCUGGUAUUAAUUGUACUCCUGUUUGGGCAGCACUUUAGAGUUUGCAAACGGCUUUCACAGGCUUUAUUGUUCUAGUGCCCACAACACCACUGUGAACAAUGCUGUGGCAUUUCCAUUUUAUGUAUCAGGAAACAACUCCAAAGGGAACUCGCCCCAGGUUGAACAUUGUGUAAACGUCAAAGCCAGGAUCCUACUCCCGUUUCUUCUGACUCUAAAUCUUGGAAUUUUCUCAGCAAACCAGAAGUCUUACCAUGGCCCUGUCUCAGGGCACUCAGCCCCAAAGUGGUGGAGCAAGAGCACUCCAAUCGGCACCACAUGCUGAGCAAUUGAGCUAGCAUGCUGAUAGAGGCAGGGACGACACAGGCCUUGUCAUCGAUAACAGGAUGAAUACUGAGGGCCAUCAGCCCAUGAGUUCUUUGCUCGUCUAUCCUAGAAAAAGGAAUGUUUUCAAAUACCUCCACUAUCAAUCACCAAGAAAAAAACAUUUGUUAUUCAUUGUUUUUUGUGUCCUCUGAUGUAACGUUUUAUCCAGGAGUUCAGGGACCUCAGUUUCUUUAUUUGUAAAAUGGGCAUAGGUGUGUGUGUGGCGGGGUGUGGUGGGGGGCGGUAACCAUGGAGGCAUUGGACCAGUUGUUCAAAAGGGACCUUCUCAGUUCUAGGUAUUUGUUUGGUUUGGUUUGGUUUUGAGACGGAGUCUUGCUUUUGUCGCCCAGACUGGAGUGCAAUGGCAUGAUCUCGGCUCACUGUAACCUCCGCCUCCCGGGGUCAAGUGAUUCUCCUGCCUCAGCCUCCCGAGUAGCUGGGAUUACAGGCGCCUGCCACCACGCCCGGCUAAUUUUUGUAUUUUUAGUAGAGAUGGGGUUUUGCCAUGUUAGCCAGGCUGGUCUUGAACUCCUGACCUCGUGAUCCACCACCUCAGCCUCCCAAAGUGCUGGGAUUACAGGCCUAAGCCACUGCGCCCAGCCCCUUCUAGGUUCUGAAAGAGGGAAAAAAAAUGUAACGUGGUUCCAAAAUUGACAGUGACCCAGGUGUAGUGAUGAAGGAAUAGAUUCAUGCAUGUGCAGUUGCCAAAGACAGAGAACCUCCAAGCGGCCCUGGGGCUGUGCUUGUCUGCCCAGUGAGGGGAUGCAUGAGGAGACUGCAGAGACCGCUCCUAACAGGGCUGCUGUGUGAUCCCACCAAAACAUUGCAAAGAACUUGCUACAAAGUUUGGGGGAAUUGCUGUCCAUAGUUUCAAAUAAGAUGUUGCAGAAUGACAACAUCAGGGUGGCAAGAUAUGUCCAAAAGAAUACUGAAGCAAGACAGAAGACGGCUGGAGGUUAGACUUAUGAACUGGGUAGGGCUGGUGAUGGUGAGGAGGAGAGAGAGGGUCAGCUCAUUCAGAAACACCCAAGGGAAGAGCACCAGGAAUCCAAAAGGGGUUGCCCUGUAGGGCACCUGCCCAGGGAUGUAUGGACAAAAGAUCUGGCUUCAAGCCAGCCUCACCACUUACUAGCUGUAUAACUCUGAACAAUUAAUAGCACCUGCCUCAGACUCAGUUUCCUCAGUGGGGAAAUGGGAAGAAUACUCCCUACCUUACAGAGCUGCUGAGAGAGUUAAAUUACAUGGAAUAUGUGGAAAUGCUUAACAGAGUCCAUUCAUACAUUCAGCAAGCAUGUGUUGCGUGUCUGCUGUUUGCCUGGAAAAUAGUAAGUACUCUAUCACUACAUUAAAAAUAUAAAGUCGGAUAGAAAAUGCAUUCUUUGAAGUCUAGAAUAAUCCUUAGGUAUUAGGGAAGUUCGUAAAUGAAACCAUCGAAAAGAUAGGUGAGUUGUUUGUUAUUCAUCAUUUUGGGUAUUUGUUGGUGGAGAGAGCUGAGCUAUUCAGUGAAUUCCGGUACUGGCAAGAUUAAAUGGAGGGGAAGGACGGAAAAAAGCCGUCUCCUCCAACAGAGAAGAAAGACAAAGGCCUGAGCUUUCACAGCCUGAGCUUGGGCUAAUUAAACCAGUGUUGUAACAUUUUUCUUUUCUUUUCUCUUUUCUUUUAUAUACAGGGGUUUUGGGGCUCUAUCAUCUUUGCCACAACACUGGACACAGAAGGCUUCUCUAACUGUGUUUUAGCCCAUUUGUUCCUCAUUUGGGAUCCUUAGAAUUUUUAGGGGUCCAUGAGGAUUGGAGUAGGGAUUUGUGACAUACUUUCAAAAUUUCAAACAUCAUACAAGAAACCAUGUGUCCUUACAAUGAGGUUUUAUUUGGCUAGAAGAUUAACCAGUCAUGUUGAUCAGAGGCUCUGGUGUAUGCUUUGAUGAAUAAAAAAGAGAAAUAAAAUAAAGGCUGC